GCGGCCGCUAAGGGGACGCAGAGGCCAGACAGGCGAAGGGACGCGGCCAUGGAGCCACUUCCGGGACAGAAUACAAGAGUGCCUCUGAGCAUGUACAAAGUGCCUUUCAGCCACUGAUAAGAUAUUUCCCGUAUCGGAGAAAGUGGAACAGAAAAGCUCUUCCCUGCCUCGGCCCUCCCAUAAGCCAAACAGAAGUGUUGACAGUCACCUGUGGAAUCCGAGACCAGCUGUGACCUUUUGCUUCUCUGGGGCAGAGGACGAGAAUAGCUCCUUCUUCCACCUUCUUCACUGGAAGAAUUGGCAAAGUGACAGAGCAGGGGAAGCAGCACUGACCAGAAAUCUGUUGAUGUUGUUCCAGCCAAGGAGCUCUUACCUUCCUCCGUAGAACGUGGCUUGGCUCACUUACCUAAGUUACUUAUUU